CGAUAGUUUAUCUAAAUGCUAGGGUAACACUAUACUUAUUGCUACUUUGUUUACAUUAUUUUUAAUUGUUUUUAUUUUGAUUUCAGGUGGAGUAUGCAGCCGUGGAGAACAUCACUACGUCUAUUGGUCUCGUCAUCAGCUGCGAAGUGGAAUCCUUGCGAGUGUCGGCGCUAAACUGGGACUGCAGGACAGCAUCAACAGGGCUGAAGCUGGCCGAGGUCCAGUGCAUCGUCAUUCUGGAUGUGGAUUUCGAUUUUCUGUGAAGUUUCUUUUCAGCCGCCGCCAUCAUCUGGAUUCUGGAGCUGCCGCUGUUCAUCAUCAGGUUCUCUGCUGGGGCCGUCAUUUGCCUGCGUAGCAGCUGCAUUUGCGCUACUGCGGCUGAUUUCCAUGUUGUGUGUUGCAAAUGGAUUGCGCAGCCAGUUCUCGCGUCUGACUUGGAGCAGUAUUGUUUGGAUGGCUGUCAGGCUUCUGUUGCUGUUUGGAUUGUGCUCUUCAAUCAUUGCGGUAUACCUUGGCCUGGCCAGCCUUCUUGGAAUGUAUGGAUGCGUUGCGAUCUCACAGGCAAUUGCUACUUGGAGAUCCGCAUGCAGUGCAUUGUUGCUCACAUACCAGGGAGCAUUCGUCAUUGCUCUGAGAGCUUUGUUUUGGAUCGUCUGGAGCUUGGCCAUUUGCAUGCUUGAAGUCAGUGGCCCCCAGACUGGCAUGGCAUACUGCC